ACAUAGAAAUGAGAAUCCGAGCGACAACCCGAAUUCAUAAAUUUAUAGUCGGUGUGGCGAUGAAGGAGUUGUUACUAUAAUGCAAAAAUAAAUUAGUCUUGGUCUCUAGCUUGAGAAGAUCCAAGUUAUUAUUUAAUGGCAAACAACAGUGCUGGGAUUAAACUUGCCUACAAUUCUAUUUUUUAAAGGCAUUGAAUAUGAUGUCUGGAGCACAAAUAUGAAGACUUUGUUCAUCUCCCAAGCUCUAUAGGAAUUGAUAUAGAGAGGAUAUGUAGAAGAAGGUGUGCCAACUGAAUCUUUAAAAGAUGUUCGAAAGAGAGAUGCCAAAGCUCUCUUUUUCAUCCAACAAGCAGUGGAUGAGACAAUCUUCCCUCUAGUUUCAGCGGCAACAAAAUCAAAGGAAGCAUGGGAUGCACUCAAGAAUGGCGACCAAGGAACUGCUAAGGUGGAUAAUGUCAAACUGCAGACACUUCAUAGGAAAUUUGAAAGCUCCUUCAUGAAAGAUACAGAUUCUAUAGAUGACUACUUUAACAAUUUGAUGGAAGUAGUGAAUAAAAUUAGGUAAUAUGGUGAAGAACUAUCUGAUCAAAAGGUUGUUGAGAAAAUUUUGAGGAGCUUACCAAGAAAAUAUGAGUCUACAACGGACGCCAUAGAAGAAUCUAAGGAUCUAACAGUGCUCACGAUUGAUGAGUUGCUGGUUCUCUACAAUCUCAUGAAGAUAGACAGAGAAGUUAUGAAGAAAGAAAUGUUGAGAAGGCAUUCCACACCCAAUUGCACUUGUCCAAAGACAAUGACAAAUUACAAGAACGCAGAAGCAACAUCAGUCGUGAAGGCUAUUCGUUUCAAGGAAAAAGAGGUGGACAAGGCUACAGAGGAGGUGCUCGGGUAAUGGACCGUAACCAGUAUCAUAAUACAACCAGCAAUAAAGGUGAUGCUAACAAUCGUAAGUUCCAAUGUUAUUAUUGUAACAAGUAUGCCCAUAUAGAAAAGUUUUGUAAUUUGAAAGAAAAGCAAGCAAAUUUUGUUGAGCAAGAAAACAAAGAAGAAUGUGAAAGUUUGUUUCUUGCAUGCUAUGCUACCUCUACUUUGUGAUUCAAAUGUUUGGUAUAUGGAUAGUGGGUGUAGCCAACACAUGACAGCAAACUUGGAGGCUUUCAUCAGUUUGGACAGGUCAGCAAAGAAUAGAGUAAAAAUGGGUGAUGGAAUGAUUUAUGAAGCACAAGGAAAUGAUAUUGUAAAGAUUUAUUCUUGUGAAACCAGCUAUAUUAGAUAUGUUCUCUAUGCCCCUGGCCUGGAUUUAAAUCUGCUAAGUGUUGGACAAAUUUUAAAAGAAGGUUACUUAUUUCUCUUCAAAGAUUUCUCUUGUUUUUAGACAAGACAAAGAAGAACAUGUAGUUCAGAGUUCCUAUGGCUAAGAAUAAUUUGUUUCGUCUCA